UCCCUCGUAGCCCAAUUGGCAGAGGCGCCGUACUCAGGAUGCGGUUGUUGCGAGUUCGAAUCUCGCCGAGGGAA
rnacentral:tRNA from 1 species